rnacentral:rRNA from 1 species
ACGGCUCAGUAACACGUAGUCAACAUGCCCAGGGGACGUGGAUAACCUCGGGAAACUGAGGAUAAACCGCGAUAGGCCAAGGUUUCUGGAAUGGACGCUGGCUGAAAUCUAUACGGCCCCUGGAUUGGACUGCGGCCGAUCAGGCUGUUGGUGAGGUAAUGGCCCACCAAACCUGUAACCGGUACGGGCUUUGAGAGAAGGAGCCCGGAGAUGGGCACUGAGACAAGGGCCCAGGCCCUAUGGGGCGCAGCAGGCGCGAAAAUUCUGCAAUAGGCGAAAGCUUGACAGAGUUACUCUGAGUGAUGCCCGCUAAGGGCAUCUUUUGGCACCUCUAAAAAUGGUGCAGAAUAAGGGGUGGGCAAGUCUGGUGUCAGCCGCCGCGGUAAUACCAGCACCCCGAGUGGUCGGGACGAUUAUUGGGCCUAAAGCAUCCGUAGCUUGUUCUGCAAGUCUUCCGUUAAAUCCACCUGCUCAACAGAUGGGCUGCGGAGGAUACUACAGGGCUAGGAGGCGGGAGAGGCAAGCGGUACUCAGUGGGUAGGGGUAAAAUCCUCUGAUCCACUGAAGACCACCAGUGGCGAAGGCGGCUUGCCAGAACGCGCUCGACGGUGAGGGAUGAAAGCUGGGGGAGCAAACCGGAUUAGAUACCCGGGUAGUCCCAGCUGUAAACGAUGCAGACUCGUGAUGGGGUUUGGCUUUGCGCCAACCCAGUGCCGCAGGAAAGCCGUUAAGUCUGCCGCCUGGGGAGUACGGUCGCAAGACUGAAACUUAAAGGAAUUGGCGGGGGAG